UGCAGUCGAACGAUGAAGCCCAGCUUGCUGGGUGGAUUAGUGGCGAACGGGUGAGUAACACGUGAGUAACCUGCCCUUGACUCUGGGAUAAGCACUGGAAACGGUGUCUAAUACCGGAUAUUUCAGCUGGCCGCAUGGUCUGGUUGUGGAAAGAAUUUUGGUCAAGGAUGGACUCGCGGCCUAUCAGGUUGUUGGUGAGGUAAUGGCUCACCAAGCCUACGACGGGUAGCCGGCCUGAGAGGGUGACCGGCCACACUGGGACUGAGACACGGCCCAGACUCCUACGGGAGGCAGCAGUGGGGAAUAUUGCACAAUGGGCGAAAGCCUGAUGCAGCAACGCCGCGUGAGGGACGACGGCCUUCGGGUUGUAAACCUCUUUUAGUAGGGAAGAAGCGAAAGUGACGGUACCUGCAGAAAAAGCACCGGCUAACUACGUGCCAGCAGCCGCGGUAAUACGUAGGGUGCAAGCGUUGUCCGGAAUUAUUGGGCGUAAAGAGCUCGUAGGCGGUUUGUCGCGUCUGCUGUGAAAACUGGAGGCUCAACCUCCAGCCUGCAGUGGGUACGGGCAGACUAGAGUGCGGUAGGGGAGAUUGGAAUUCCUGGUGUAGCGGUGGAAUGCGCAGAUAUCAGGAGGAACACCGAUGGCGAAGGCAGAUCUCUGGGCCGUAACUGACGCUGAGGAGCGAAAGCAUGGGGAGCGAACAGGAUUAGAUACCCUGGUAGUCCAUGCCGUAAACGUUGGGAACUAGAUGUGGGGGCCAUUCCACGGUCUCCGUGUCGCAGCUAACGCAUUAAGUUCCCCGCCUGGGGAGUACGGCCGCAAGGCUAAAACUCAAAGGAAUUGACGGGGGCCCGCACAAGCGGCGGAGCAUGCGGAUUAAUUCGAUGCAACGCGAAGAACCUUACCAAGGCUUGACAUAUACGAGAACGGGCCAGAAAUGGUCAACUCUUUGGACACUCGUAAACAGGUGGUGCAUGGUUGUCGUCAGCUCGUGUCGUGAGAUG
rnacentral:rRNA from 1 species